rnacentral:rRNA from 1 species
UAGAUUAGAGUUUGAUCCUGGCUCAGAUUGAACGCUGGCGGCAGGCCUAACACAUGCAAGUCGAGCGGAUGAAGGGAGCUUGCUCCUGGAUUCAGCGGCGGACGGGUGAGUAAUGCCUAGGAAUCUGCCUGGUAGUGGGGGAUAACGUCCGGAAACGGGCGCUAAUACCGCAUACGUCCUGAGGGAGAAAGUGGGGGAUCUUCGGACCUCACGCUAUCAGAUGAGCCUAGGUCGGAUUAGCUAGUUGGUGGGGUAAAGGCCUACCAAGGCGACGAUCCGUAACUGGUCUGAGAGGAUGAUCAGUCACACUGGAACUGAGACACGGUCCAGACUCCUACGGGAGGCAGCAGUGGGGAAUAUUGGACCAUGGGCGAAAGCCUGAUCCAGCCAUGCCGCGUGUGUGA